rnacentral:rRNA from 1 species
UACGGGGGGGGCAAGCGUUGUUCGGAAUUACUGGGCGUAAAGGGCCAGUAGGCGGCCAACUAAGUCGGAUGUGAAAUCCCCAGGCUUAACCUGGGAACUGCGUCCGAUACUGGAUGGCUUGAAUUCGGGAGAGGGAUGCAGAAUUCCAGGUGUAGCGGUGAAAUGCGUAGAUAUCUGGAGGAAUACCGGUGGCGAAGGCGGCAUCCUGGACCGACAUUGACGCUGAGGAGCGAAAGCUAGGGGAGCAAACGGG